rnacentral:rRNA from 1 species
GAUGAACGCUGGCGGCGUGCCUAAUACAUGCAAGUCGAGCGAAUGGAUUAAGAGCUUGCUCUUAUGAAGUUAGCGGCGGACGGGUGAGUAACACGUGGGUAACCUGCCCAUAAGACUGGGAUAACUCCGGGAAACCGGGGCUAAUACCGGAUAACAUUUUGAACCGCAUGGUUCGAAAUUGAAAGGCGGCUUCGGCUGUCACUUAUGGAUGGACCCGCGUCGCAUUAGCUAGUUGGUGAGGUAACGGCUCACCAAGGCAACGAUGCGUAGCCGACCUGAGAGGGUGAUCGGCAACACUGGGACUGAGACACGGCCCAGACUCCUACGGGAGGCAGCAGUAGGGAAUCUUCCGCAAUGGACGAAAGUCUGACGGGGCAACGCCGCGUGAGUGAUGAAGGCUUUCGGGUCGUAAAACUCUGUUGUUAGGGAAGAACAAGUGCUAGUUGAAUAGGCUGGCACCUUGACGGUACCUAACCAGAAAGCCACGGCUAACUACGUGCCAGCCGCCGCAGUAA